rnacentral:lncRNA from 1 species
AGUGCUCGGCCCCCAGGCCUGCGUUCAGUGAGGCCUCCCGUGGCGUCAGCAUGUUCGUGUGGAGGAAUGUGGAAGGUCACUCUGCGGCCGUGUUCUCCUGGUACUCCAUCGCCUUCCUGACCCCUCCCUGCAGCCACACGAGGCCCAGCAACCUGCCAGUCACUCAGUGGCCUCCAACCAGAGAAAACAACCUGCCAAGUUGGCAGCUGUUGCUCAUGAGCGUCCACCAGGUGGGACAGGGAGUGUUGACCCUGGGCGGCCCCCUGGAGCCACCUGCCCUGAAAGCCCAGGGCCCGCAACCCCACACACUUUGGGGGUGGUGGAACCUGGUAAAACCUCACCUCCCACCAUGGAGGAGGAGCCCUGGGCCCCUCAGGGGAGUCCCUGCUGGACAGUGAGACAGAGAAUGACCAUGAUGAUGCUUUCCUCUCCAUCAUGUCUCCUGACACCCAGUUGCCUCUACCACUCAGAUGAUGUCAGGCCCAGUCCCUCAGUGCCCUGCGCAAGGAACAGGACUCAUCUUCUGAGAAGGAUGGACGCAGCCCCAACAAAUCAGACAAGUACCACAUCCGGUGGCCCAUGAGUGGCGCUCAUGAUCUUCAGCAGGCGGCACCAGGCCCUGGCGGGGCGCACCAGGGUCACCCCAACCAGGAUAACCGGACCGUCAGCCAGAUGCUGAGCGAGCGGUGGUACACCCUGGGGCCCAAUGAGAUGCAGAAAUACAACCUGGCCUUCCAGGUGAAGGUGGCCCACUUGCAACAAGGACCGAAAGAAGUCCAGCUCAGAGGCCAAGCCCACAAGCCAGGGGCUAGCAGGAGUGUAACAAGGGCUCGUGGGAGCGGAGCAUAUCAGAGACGGGCACUGCCACUGCCCCUGGGGCGUCCUCUGAACUCCUGUCAGUUGCAGCCCAAACACUCCAGAGCUCGGAUGCCAAGGAGCAGCUUCUGUGGGGCAGAACGGCUGCACACAGUCAGGGAACCUGGCUCAGCCUGGCCCAAGCCUUCUCCCACAGCGGGGUACACAGCCUGGACGGCAGGGAAAUAGACCGUCAGGCACUACGGGAACUGACACAGGUGGUGUCUGGCACUGCAUCAUACUCUGGCCCAAAGCCUUCUACUCAGCAUGGAGCUCCAGGCCACUUUGCAGCCCCUGGUGAGGGAGGUGACCCGUGGGCAGCCCUGCUGCCGCCCACGUGAGCUGCUCAUUCCCAGCACAUGGCCAGCGAGGUCAUAGCGAGUGACGAAGAGCACACGGUCAUCCAUGAGGAGGAGGGGGUGAUGAUGUCAUUGCUGAUGAUGGCUUUAGCACCACCGACACCGAUCUCAAGUUCAAGGAGUGGGUGACCGACUGAGAGUGGGGACAGCUCUGGGGAGGAGCCAGAGGGCAACAAGGGCUUUGGUGGGAAGGUAUUUGCACCUGUCAUUCCUUCCUCCUUUACUCCUGCCGCCCCUUGCUGGAUCCUGAGCCCCCAGGGUCCCCCGAUCCACCUGCAGCUUUUGGCAGUCUAUGGUCACACCCUGUCCUCCUCCUACACAUACUCGGAUGCUUCCUCCUCAACCUUGGCACCCACCUCCUUCUUACUGGGCCCAGGAGCCUUCAAAGCCCAGGAGUCUGGUCAACGCAGCAGAGCGGGCCCCCUACGGCCCCAACCCCUGGGGAUGGGGGCCCAGGGACGCCUUCCAAGGUGGCCUGUUUCCUCCCAAUGGAUCCUGCCACCUUCUGGUGCAAGAGACCUGAAAGUGUGGGCGACCUGGAGCUACCAGGCUCCUCAGUCAUCAGGGUCCCUCCCGGGCUUUCGGGGUCGGGGCAGAGGGAACCCCACGGACAUGGAUCCCACACUGGAGGACCCCACCGCGCCCAAAUGCAAGAUGAGAAGAUGCUCCAGCUGCAGUCCAAAGCCCAACACCCCCAAGUGUGCCAUGUGUGAUGGGGACAGCUUCCCCUUUGCCUAUACAGGUGGAGAAGCCGAGGACAGGCUCAGGGAACCGGAGACCGAGAAGGCGCUGUCCUCUUCACUGCACGUACCCUGGACCAGUGCCGGCCCUGAUCAUGCAGCUCUUCCAGGCCCACUGCUUCUUCCUGUCCACUAGGCCACAGCCGCCCUCCAGGCCCACUAUGCACACAUCCUCCCCUCCAAGGUUUGUUCUGCCCCUGCCCUGACUCCCAGCCCUGUGGGGGUCCUGACCGCACCUCACCUGGCUCAGACUCUUGACGCUGCCCUGGCUGCCCCACCACUGCUUCUGCCCGAGAGUCACGUGAAGCUGAGAGUAGGGGCAGGGGCAGCAGUGGUGCCAGUUGGGGGGCGGUCCAGUGGGAGGAGCCUCAGCCUCGCAGGCUGCUCCGUGGGACUGAUGACUGCAUGAUCUUCUGGGCACCUCACGGAUCUUCAACUGCAGGUGAAACGGAUGCUGGUGGUGGGUGCAGGGCCGCUGGGAGCUGCUGCAUGGUUCCCAGAGGCUGGACUGAGGCAGGUGCCAACUGAAGCUGCUGGGGCAGCAUGGGCAGGAUGUUCUGCACACAAACCUUGGAGAAGAAGAUGUGUGCAUAGCGGGUCCACUGCUGCUGCCCCUGCCCUGACUCCCAGCCCUGCCUGACCCCACCUCAACCUGCUCAGGCUCUGGCACAACCCUGGCUGCCCUGCCACUGCCUCUGCCCCAGAGUUGGGGCCUUGACAGCCUGGUUGGAAGGGGACACCCCAGCCCUGCCUCAACACCUGGGGGUCUCCAUAACUACCACAGGCA